rnacentral:rRNA from 1 species
CCAUGUUUCCGUAGGUGAACNUGCGCAGGUAUCAUUA